UUUUUUUCUUAUUUUCUUUUAUUUUUUUGAGACAGGGUCUCCCUCUGUUACCCAGGCUGGAGUACAGUGGAGUGAUCAUAGCUCACUCCAGCCUUGACCUUAUGAGCUCAGGCGAUCCUUCUGCCUCAGCCACCUGAAUAGCUGGGAGCUGAGGUGCAAACCACCACACCUAGCUAAUUUUCUAUUUUUUGUAGAGAUAGGGUCUUUCUAUGUUGCUCAGGCUGGUCUUAAACUCCUAGGCUUAAGCAAUCUUCCCACCUCAGCCUCUGCACUGAGCCACUGUGCCUGGCCAUACCCUUUUAGUAUUCUUGAUACCCUAUCCUUAGUGAACUAAAAAGGAACCUUAGAGAACCAGUCUUCCUCCCCUUCAAUUGCCUUAAAAGGAGGGGGAACCCUCAUAACAAAUCUUCUUAAUAUCACCAGAGUAAGGAAUGCCAACUGCAGUUCAGGAAGAGAAUCUUCUCAUAUCAAGAGCUUCCAAACUUUGUAAAGGUACUCAGAAGUUCAAGCUCCACCCAACUAUGUGAGUUUUUACAUUUUUAAAAUAAGAUUUCCAAAAGUUCACCUUUGAUUUAAAUUGUUUUCAGAUUUCCUGCAGAUUUGAGUGUCUCUUACUUCUCAUUUGAUUUUUCCUUUUAUUAAUUGUGCCGGGUAGGCUUUUUGUUCUGUGACUAACGGAAAGUUCCACAUAAACUGAGUUCAAGCUAUGCAGGUGCUCACAGCUUUUGGAGAAGAAUGCCAUCACAUAUACCUGGACACCAAUCAUCCCAGCACAUUUCCUGUGGUGCCCAGGCACUGCUGACCACAUCAGUCAGACAUCUUCUCUGUUUCACAUGGCAGCAGGGGCUGAAAGAAACUCUACAAAUCCAAUUUGUAGUUUUAAAGAAAACUAAAUUUAUGAAAAUGAUCUCUAGGGGAAGUUCACAGUGGAGUGGAAAGAACACAAUCUUUAGAAAUGAAGACUUGAAUUUGAAUCUCGGUUCCAGGAUUUACUAGCAAUGAAAGCCUGGCAAGUUGCUUAACCUCUCAGCCCAUUUAAUCCUGCAUAAGGAAUCAAUAAUAACAUGCAAUCUACAAAGUAGCUUCGAGGACUGAAUUGCACACUGCUGGCAAGUGCCAGCACAGACUGGGGGCUCUUUUCACCCUCUUUCACCACUCUGCACAGAUGCUUUCUGGAGAAGAAAAUUCUAUGACCUACUUCCAAAAUCUAUUCUAACUCCUUCAAGUUAAGAAUUCUUUGUUGAAUUUAAAUACAUUUUCCAGCCAUUUAAAUAGUCUUCGUGGCGUUCUGUUCUCAAAGAAAAUUAAAAUGUGUCCCAAAUGUAUCUGUGUGUGUGUAUGACUUCAAAAUCCUCCAUGUCUUAGAGACUUAAAAGCUGAACAGUAAUGAUCUUGGGAUUCAGGUAGGAUCUAGAAGAUAUACAUGAAAAAGUGGCUGAACAAAUGUCUGAGAAGUUAAACUCCCCUUUACUGUUUUCUUUGUUUUCUUCUAUACCCUGACUGAAAAUGGACCUUUUUUUGACACUAGACCAAACCGAUAGGAAACAGCCUCUCUCUCUAAACACACAGACACAGACACACACACAGACACACAGACACACACACACACACACACAGUGUGUUAAAUAGAAAUCUUGGAUUGUGAUUGUUUCUGAAGUCAUAACAUCAUUUUUCAAAUGUUAUGCCUCAAUAUUAGCAAUCAUUCUAGAUAUUCCCAUUAUAACUCCCAUAUGACUUACUAAAAUGUGGUUACUGUUGGUAACUAGAAACUGAGAAUAAAUGAAAUAUAAAUUUACAGCCAGAUGAAAUAUGACUGGUUUACAGGUUUCUCAACAUUUUAAGUUCAACAAUGAAUCAAACAGCUGGCAUUUUUUUCCUAUAUGCAAAUUAGGCCUUUUUAAAAGCCAUUCUUGUCUACCACUUUCUUCCCUUCCCUUUUGAAAGUGUAGAUUUAAAUUCACAAGAACUGGAUGCUUCCUUUGCAUUUUUGUUCAUCUACUAAAUUAUAAGAGUUGGAUUAUAGGUGCUGAACUGUUAUGUUGACUUGGAGUAGAAACUUCUCAAGGACUGUGUCUUUUGAUAACAUUGUUCUGUCUUCCUCGACAUUAAAAUGUACUGUUCUGUAUACACUGGACAACGAGAAAGGGAGAAAAGGCACAAUCCACAGAAAAUCAGUAGAAGUAAAGCACAAUCUAGGAUGACACUUCUCUCCUUCUCUUUUCCUAUCCACUGACUUCCCUCAGGCUCCUGCCUUCAGUUUCUAUUAAUGCCAGCCCAGCCUCUUAGGAUCUCUCCUGUGUCUCCUGGCGGCUUUAGAGCCCUGUGAAAUUGUAACCCCAGCAUUGAUAAGGACAGGAAGAGCACUUCCUUUACAAUAGGGAAGAAGGCCAGGACGGUCGGUUUACAGGAUGCCCCCUGCCAAAGAGAAGCCCCGUUCAAAGCCCCAGGACAAAAAUAGGCCACCCUUUGGCUCUGCCUGAACUAGGACAUCCUGGGAUGACGUUUUUAUUACAUACACAAAAGGGUUCCGCUGUUCAAUUUGUUUCUACCCGCAAACCAAAGUUAAAAUAAUUUAUCUCCUGACUUGAAGUUGUUCGAGUUCACAAAUAAGCUUUCUGGGCUUGAAGCGAUAAUUGAAUGAGUUAUUACUGGAAAAAUUCAGUCACAAAAUAAUCUGAAGUUAACACAGUGAAACCUUAUACAGCACUGCAACUAAGUUCUCAAAUAGUUUUUUAAUCACUCAAAUUGAACAGGGGGGAAGUAAGAUCAUAUUCUUAAAUAUGAAAAUGUUGGACAUUAUUGUAAAACCUCCAUUUCUGUAACAUGUGGCAAUAAGUAAAUAAGUAGCAUUCUUUGGUGUGGUGUGCCCCAACAUUUGAAGUUUUUGCUGUUAAAAUGUCUUUAAAGAAGCAUAACAACUUUCAAACAAGAUUUUAAUAAGAAACUCCAAUGAAUAAAACAGAAAAAAAGAGGUUUUCAGUUAUUAAAAUUAUUUUACAAAAUCCAAUUUCACUACCAAAUUUACCUACUACAAAGUUAGUUAAUGAGAAUAAUACGGUUGCUUUGAUUUACCCCAAAAUUUCAAACUGGGCAUUAUAGAUAAUAAUAUUUAUGUCAGCACUGCAUAUUUUCUUUUUGUUUGCAGAAUACUGAAACAUUCCCAGUUAAUACAGACAACUAAUUUCAAAGAAUAACAGUUCUUAAUUUUUCACCCUGCCGUGUCAAGACAUUCUUCAACUGAAUAUAGGUAAUCAAAAUCUUUAUUCAAAGUAUGCACAAAACAACUUAAGCAGGCAACAAAUAUUAAUGCACUAGGGGCCUUCAAUGUACUAACAUUUUAUAUCUCAUAACAGUUUUUAAACAGUUUAUAAUUGGUCACCUUAAAACUAUGAUAUGUUCAUUGUUUAAAUAGUUUAAAAUGUUUCCUUUACUCUGCCUAUAAAUAUAAAUCACUUGUCUACAUCACACUCAGAAAUUACAUUGACUUUAUUAAAAGAGGUGACUAUAAUUUUAAUUAUGUGUCUGUCUCAUUGUUGUAUAUAUUUCAAAUUCUCUACAUUUGGAGCAUUGUGAUCUCAUUCAUAGGCUAACCCUAUAGGAGGCUUUGACCAUUUUUGGCCCUUAUCAGCCAAUGUCAACUCAGUCUCAGCUACUCGUCUAACAACAAAUCCUUCUUAGGUCUUCAUAGAAUCAGUCCUUCUUCCACUCUAACUUCAAGAGUCACUCUCCUUGGGAGAUGUGAUGAUAUGGGAGAAGGUAUGUACAAUGAGGUUAUUAAACAGUUCCCUCUUCAAUCCAGCCAACCAAGUUCUGUGUGACCAAAGGUGAAUCUGUAUUAUAAGCACCCUAGGCAGGGAAAGCCAGGUCUCCGUAGCUGAUUUAAUUCAGCAUGUCAUUUUUAGAAUAAACGUCACACAUGUGACAGAAUUUGGAGAUCCACCUAUAUGAAAAGCCCUGAAUCAACUGUCCUCCCAAUUAGUGGAGGAUAUCUGCCAUGGGGUUUUCUUCUGAGAGGACAUCCUUCUUAUCCUGCAUCUAACCAGGGAAGUAAAAUGCCUGUGAGAGCUGGCAAAUAAUCCAGUUAGGAGUCAAGCCACCAGUGCCCCCUUUGGGAGAAAAUAGCUCAUCUUCCCUAGGAGAUUGAUUCACUCACUUUCUUGGAAUGAAUCACUCUAUUUCCUAUCAUUAGUCAAAAAGAUCUCGUUGAGCAUUAGUUUCUAUCAUUUAUACUGUAAAAACAAUGGGGUUAUUUUCCCCAUGAGUAAGGAAAUUAUGUUACAACACUAAUCAAUGUUUUUCAAACAACCUCCCUCCUACCCUCAUCCCACAGAGGGAGGAAACAUACCCUGUCCUGACACUAUUCGCCUAACUGAACUAACCAGCAAUGAAACUAUAAUAACGAGCGAGACUGAAACUGCCAACUGGAAUUUUGAUGAUGUCUUCUUACUGAACCCAGCUAAUUCCCUACAUUUGAGGUACUGUGAUUAUCAAUAGGAUGGUCCCAUAACAGGCUGUGGCACCAUUCAUUCUUGACCCUCAUCAGCCAACAUCAACUCAGUCUUAGCUGCUAGUCUUCCUUUGGUCCCGUACCCAAGUUCCUCUAAGACUCAAGUCCUGGCUUAUGAAAGUCUACUCAGGGAUUGGCACCUGACUUCCAAAUCACAAUCUCCAACACUAGAUCUUUGCUUCCUGCUGCUGGGUCUGGUUAAGCUUAGUUUAUUGUCUGACUGCCCUCUAACACUGAAUAGGAUUCUUCUUACUGCUCAUCUCUCCCUUGAGCCUGGGCCAUGUACUUAGUUGCCUGCCCAAGUCUUCAACUGUCAAUUAUCUUUGGGACUUUUCUAUUCUUCUGGCCAAAAGGCCAAACAUUGGUGGGUCUCCAUUCCUGGAGUCAAUCUAAGGAAGGGGCAUAUUUCUUAUGAAGUUGGGCCUGUAAGACAGCCUUAAGUAAGAGACAAAGAGAGUCUCUCUACCUUGGCUUUAACCAUGGUUUGUCAUACUCGGAAGGAGCUCCUGGGCAGCACCCUCUGCAUAGAAAGAAGCUAAACAUGUGCAAAGUUAGAGCUAAACUGUGAAUACCAGGAAGGGGUAGAAAUCAUGGGUAUAGUCAUUGAAAGGGGCCUAAAAAUUCCUAAGUACAAUAAAUGUUGUCCUGCACUAAGUACGUAAAAAUUGCCCUCAUAACGGACAAAACCAUUAGGAUCACUGUGCUAAUGUAUGGAUGUUGAAGGAAAAGAGCAGAAGAUAAAGGCUCUGCCAGUUCUGGCAGAAGAUGAAGUCAGGUAGAACAGAAGCCUGGAAUUUAUAGACUAGAUUGCUAAUAUGUUCUAAAAUUGUGUUUAUGUCCCUUUUGCUCUCCCUUGGUAUUUAGCAAGUUCUAGUGGUCUCUGUUGUGUUAAUGGAAUGAAAAAGGGGGAUUCCCCCUUCAUAUCACCCUUUAAAAUGAUAAAGAUAAAGAUAAAAUGAUCAUCAAUGUCUCCUUAAAGUGGAGUAUGGGAAGAGGAACAUGAAGGGAUGUAGCCUCAUGGGGAAGGUGAAAAUGACAGGAAAAGAGUUAGAGUUAAGGUCUCCUGAUUUACUUUGAGAGAAUAUUCUCGAAGGUUCUAGGCUCUGUUUUAUUAUUAAAGCAAACAACCCCUCCUUCAUGUCUGCCUUAUCUUUGGGUCCUCACUGUUCCUAGUCUGGUAUAUCCUGCCAGAAACCAUUUAAGUCUGAGAGCGAAUCAGUGAAAUGCAGUGGGCGGUAGUGUAGUAGAGUAGAGAGAAGACGUGGCCUGAAUCAGGAACAGGCACAAUCAUGGGUCUGUUGUGCCAUUUCACAAAUGUUCUUGGGUAAGUUAAUUAACCUGUCUCUUUCUAUUCUCAUACGUAGAAGAAUAUACAAUCUUUUUCACAGGGUUAUUGUAAGGAAUAAAAGGGGUGAGGAUGGAAAGUGCCUUCAGCUAUCUAGCACAUAGCAUGAACAAAAAAAUGCUGGCUGUUAUUAUUUCCCAUAUAUAAAAAUUGCCCAGGGAAGAUGUGAUGUUUUGUGCACAAAAAUCUCUGAAUCAGCAUCCUGCAAGUACAGAUGGAAGUUACCGGGAAAUGAAAGUGUACUCU
ensembl:lncRNA